AGGACGAACGCUGGCGGCGUGCUUAACACAUGCAAGUCGAGCGGAAAGGCCCUUCGGGGUACUCGAGCGGCGAACGGGUGAGUAACACGUGAGUAAUCUGCCCCUAGCUCUGGGAUAGCUCCGGGAAACCGGGAUUAAUACCAGAUACGACCACUUUAGACAUCUGCUGUGGUGGAAAGAAUUUCGGCUAGGGAUGAGCUCGCGGCCUAUCAGCUUGUUGGUGAGGUAACGGCUCACCAAGGCGACGACGGGUAGCCGGCCUGAGAGGGCGACCGGCCACACUGGGACUGAGACACGGCCCAGACUCCUACGGGAGGCAGCAGUGGGGAAUAUUGCGCAAUGGGCGAAAGCCUGACGCAGCGACGCCGCGUGGGGGAUGAAGGCCUUCGGGUUGUAACCCUUUCAGCAGGACGAAGCGAAGUGACGGUACUGCAGAAGAAGCGCCGGCUAACUACGCGCCAGCAGCCGC
rnacentral:rRNA from 1 species